rnacentral:tRNA from 2 species
GGGGCCGUAGCUUAGCUAGGUCGGAGCGCCCGGCUGAUAACCGGGAGGUCGCCGGUUCGAAUCCGGCCGGCCCCA